rnacentral:rRNA from 1 species
UACAGAGGGGGCAAGCGUUAUUCGGAAUUAUUGGGCGUAAAGGGCGCGUAGGCGGCUUCGCAAGUGGAAGGUGAAAUCCCUCGGCUUAACCGAGGAACUGCCCUCCAACUGCGUUGCUUGAGGCCGGGAGAGGUGAGUGGAAUUCCCAGUGUAGCGGUGAAAUGCGCAGAUAUCAGGAAGAAUAUCCGUGGCGAAGGCGGCUCUCUGGGACGGUACUGACGCUGAGACGCGAAAGCGUGGGGAGCGAACAGG